rnacentral:rRNA from 1 species
GACGAACGCUGGCGGCGUGCUUAACACAUGCAAGUCGAACGGUGAAGCGCCUUCCUUUUUGGUGGGUGUGGAUGAGUGGCGAACGGGUGAGUAACACGUGAGUAACCUGCCCCCUUCUUCUGGAUAACCGCGUGAAAGUGUGGCUAAUACGGGAUAUUCUGGGUCUGUCGCAUGAUGGGUCUGGGAAAGAUAUUGUUUCGGUGGGGGAUGGGCUCGCGGCCUAUCAGCUUGUUGGUGGGGUGAUGGCCUACCAAGGCGGUGACGGGUAGCCGGCCUGAGAGGGUGGACGGUCACACUGGGACUGAGACACGGCCCAGACUCCUACGGGAGGCAGCAGUGGGGAAUAGUGCACAAUGGGCGCAAGCCUGAUGCAGCGACGCCGCGUGAGGGAUGGAGGCCUUCGGGUUGUGAACCUCUUUCGCCAGUGAAGCAGGCCUGCCUCGUUUGUGGGUGGGUUGACGGUAGCUGGAUAAGAAGCGCCGGCUAACUACGUG